CAAGCUACACAGAGUACGAGGUGGAUGCCUUGGCACGAAAGACCGAUGAAGGACGCGGAGACCGGCGAAACGUUCGAGGGGAGCUGCAUACAAGCUAUGAACCUCGAGAUUCCGAAUGGGGCAACCCAUCCAGAGUGAUGUCUGGAUACUCCCUGUUGAACACAUAGACAGGGUAGAGGGCAGCGGGCGAACUGAAACAUCUCAGUAGCUCGACGAAAAGAAAUCAACCGAGAUUCCCGUAGUAGUGGCGAGCGAACCGGGAGGAGCCCAAACCAUCCGUUCUUCGGAACGGGCGGGGUUGUAGGACUCGCAACAAACAAUGGCCGAUCAUUCGAAUGCGUUGGAAAGCGCAACCAGAGCAGGUGAGAGUCCUGUAGAAGACGAUCAACCGGCGUGGGCGAGGAUCCUGAGUACCACGAGGCACGUGAAACCUUGUGGGAAGCUGGGGGGACCACCCUCCAAGGCUCAACAUCUUUCGUGACCGAUAGCGAACAAGUACCGUGAGGGAAAGGUGAAAAGCACCCCGAGAGGGGGAUGAAAGAGACCCUGAAACCACGUACUCACCAGCAGUCAGAGGCCACUGUUCCAGGAGGAACUAAGGGCUGAUGGCGUGCCUUUUGUAGAAUGAUCCGGCGAGUGCAUCGUCGUAGCAGGUUAACCAGCGGUAAAGCUGGGGAGCCAGAGGGCAACCGAGUCUGAAGCAGGCGCGCGUUGCGGCGAUGCGACCCGAAACCACGUGAGCUAUCCAUGAGCAGAGUGAAGCGGAUGUGACAGUCCGUCGAGGCUCGAACCCACCAGUGUUGCAAAACUGGGGGAUGACUUGUGGAUAGGGGAGAAAUUCCAAUCGAACGUGGAGAUAGCUGGUUCUCCCCGAAAUGUAUUGAGGUACAGCUGCAUGUGUUGUCUGUUGGAGGUAGAGCGCUGGAAAGGCUCGGGGCCCUGUGCGGGUUACCAACCCUUCUCAAACUGCGAAUGCCAGCAGAAUGGAGCAUGCAAGUGAGACAGUGGGGGCUAAGCUUCAUUGUCAAAAGGGAAACAGCCCAGAUCACCGGCUAAGGUCUCCAAAUCACUGCUCAGUGUCAAAGGGAGUCAGUACGCAAUAACAGCCAGGAUGUUGGCUUAGAAGCAGCCAUCAUUGAAAGAGUGCGUAAUAGCUCACUGGUCGAGUGUAGUGGCACCGACAACGUAGCGAGGCUUAAGCAGUGUACCGAAGCCGUGAAUUGCAUCACUUGUGGUGCAAUGGUAGGGGAGCGUUCUCAAGCAGAGAAGCCAGACCGGAAGGACUGGUGGAGCGACGAGAAGUGAGAAUGCCGGAAUGAGUAGCGCAAUCUCUGUGAAAACCAGAGACACCGAAUGCCUGAGGGUUCCUGGGCACCGUCAAUCGUCCCAGGGUGAGUCGGGCCCUAAGCCGAGGACGUCAUAGUCGUAGGCGAUGGAAAGCAGGUCAGAGAUUCCUGCACUAGCGUCAGAUCGUUAGUAACAAUGGGGGGACGCAGUAGGGAAGGUGAACCGAUCGAAUGGACAGGAUCGGCGUGUCGUUUGAAGUGCGAGACCGAGGCAAAUCCCGGUCUCCUGUGCAUGACAGCGGCACCGAGCGCGAGCAAUCGUGCGGAAGUCAUCGGACCCCAGGCUGCCAAGAAAAGCCUCUCGUGAGAGCUGACGCUACCCGUACCGCAAACCGACACUGGUAGGCAGGGGGAACUCCCCCAAGGUGAUCGAGCGACCCUCUGUUAAGGAACUCGGCAAAUUGACCCCGUACCUUCGGUAGAAGGGGUGCCCCAGUAGCGUGUUUCGAUGCGUGAGGGGGCUGCAAGAAAUUGGCUCAACCGACUGUUUACCAAAAACACAGGUCUCUGCGAACGCGAAAGCGGAAGUAUAGGGGCUGACUCCUGCCCAGUGCCGGAAGGUUAAGCUAAGUGGUGUUCGUAGCCACGAGGUGAAGCCCCGGUGAACGGCGGCCGUAACUAUAACGGUCCUAAGGUAGCGAAAUUCCUUGUCGGGUAAGUUCCGACCCGCACGAAAGGAGUAACGAGUUGAGCACUGUCUCGACAGAGGACUCGGCGAAAUUGAAGUACCCGUGAAGAUACGGGUUACCCACGACAGGACAAAAAGACCCCGUGGAGCUUUACUACAGCUUGGCCUGGAUACGAGGGACAGCGUGCGUAGCAUAGGUGGGAGCCGGAGAAUCCAUCCUUGUGGGGGUGGAGGAGGCAGCAGUGAAAUACCACUCUCGUUGUGUUUUGUGUCUCACGCCAGACCGUGAACCGGUUGGCAGACAGGACCAGGUGGGUAGUUUGACUGGGGCGGUCGCCUCCCAAAGAGUAACGGAGGCGCUCAAAGGUUCUCUCCGGGUGGAUGGACAUCACCCUUCAAGAGUGUAAAGGCAGAAGAGAGCUUGACUGCAAGGCAGACGCGCCGAGCAGGGACGAAAGUCGGACUUAGUGAUCCCACAUUCCCGAGUGGAAGGAGUGUGGCUCAACGGAUAAAAGCUACCCCGGGGAUAACAGGCUUAUCUUGCCCAAGAGUUCACAUCGACGGCAAGGUUUGGCACCUCGAUGUCGGCUCGUCGCAUCCUGGGGCUGGAGUAGGUCCCAAGGGUUGGGCUGUUCGCCCAUGAAAGCGGCACGCGAGCUGGGUUCAGAACGUCGCGAGACAGUUCGGUCUCUAUCCGUCGUGGGCGUAGGAAGAUUGAGGGGCGUCAUCUCCAGUACGAGAGGACCGAGAUGGCUGAACCGCUGGUGUGCCAGUUGGCCUGCCCGGGCCACAGCUGGAUAGCUAUGUUCAGAAGGGAUAAGCGCUGAAGGCAUCUAAGCGCGAAGCCGCACCCAAGAUGAGUCUUCCCAUCACUUCGUGUGAUCAAGAUCCCAGGAAGAAGACCUGGUCGAUAGACGACACGUGGACGCCUGGUAACAGGUGGAGCGAAGUCGCCCUAAUGAUCGUACGGCUUGUCA
rnacentral:rRNA from 1 species